CUCUGUUUCAGAUGAUUCAGGGCGAAGGAG
ncrna:Listeria floridensis FSL S10-1187 L31-Firmicutes ribosomal protein leader